rnacentral:lncRNA from 1 species
GUAGGAUCUUCAUUUGAUCACUCUUUUGUUGCUGCUGAGAAUGUUCCCGCACUAACACAGGGCUGAGUGAUUGGUGGGCUAGGGUUUGGUUUUACAUACAGCAUACAGGGGUGAGUGAUUGGGGCGGCAGGUAGCCUAGUGGUUAGAGCGUUGGACUAGUAACCGAAAGGUUGCUAGAUCGAAUCCCCCGAGCUGACAAGGUAAAAAUCUGUCGUUCUGCCUCCUGAACAAGGCAGUUAACCCACUGUUCCCCGGUAGGCCAUCAUUGUAAACAAGAAUUUGUUCUUAACUGACUUGCCUAGUUAAAUAAAAGAAAAUGGUGGGUUUGGUUUUAUGUACAGGGCUGAGUGAAUGGUAGGUUAUAGAUGGGUUUGAUGUACAGGGCUGAGUGAAUGGUAGGUUAUAGUUGGGUUUUAUGUACAGGGCUGAGUGAAUGGUAGGUUAUAGAUGGGUUUUAUGUACAGGGCUGAGUGAAUGGUAGGUUAUAGAUGGGUUUUAUGUACAGGGCUGAGUGAGUAAGCCUAGUACAUUAGUGCAUUAGGCCACAGGGCUUUGUGACAUCUGAGUGACGUCUCUGGGGAACAGACACACAGACUCAGAAGGCAGCAAGCCACACACAUACACACACACGCAUGAACACACAGACACAAAGCAGCACACGGCACAGGACAAGAGGAAACACACACUAACAUCAAGAGUCCAUCUAAAGCAUGAAACAGGAAACACUAACAUCAAGAGUCCAUCUGAAGCACUAAACAGGAAAUACAAACGUCAAGAGUCCAUCUGAAACACUAAACAGGAAACACUAACAUCAAGAGUCCAUCUAAAACACUAAACAGGAAACACUAACAUCAAGAGUCCAUCUAAAACACUAAACAGGAAACACUAACAUCAAGAGUCCAUCUAAAG